GACGAACGCUGGCGGCGUGCCUAAUACAUGCAAGUAGAACGCUGAAGAGAGGAGCUUGCUCUUCUUGGAUGAGUCGCGAACGGGUGAGUAACGCGUAGGUAACCUGCCUUGUAGCGGGGGAUAACUAUUGGAAACGAUAGCUAAUACCGCAUAACAAUGGAUGACACAUGUCAUUUAUUUGAAAGGGGCAAUUGCUCCACUACAAGAUGGACCUGCGUUGUAUUAGCUAGUAGGUGAGGUAACGGCUCACCUAGGCGACGAUACAUAGCCGACCUGAGAGGGUGAUCGGCCACACUGGGACUGAGACACGGCCCAGACUCCUACGGGAGGCAGCAGUAGGGAAUCUUCGGCAAUGGGGGCAACCCUGACCGAGCAACGCCGCGUGAGUGAAGAAGGUUUUCGGAUCGUAAAGCUCUGUUGUAAGUCAAGAACGAGUGUGAGAGUGGAAAGUUCACACUGUGACGGUAGCUUACCAGAAAGGGACGGCUAACUACGUGCCAGCAGCCGCGGUAAUACGUAGGUCCCGAGCGUUGUCCAGAUUUAUUGGGCGUAAAGCGAGCGCAGGCGGUUUGAUAAGUCUGAAGUUAAAGGCUGUGGCUCAACCAUAGUUCGCUUUGGAAACUGUCAAACUUGAGUGCAGAAGGGGAGAGUGGAAUUCCAUGUGUAGCGGUGAAAUGCGUAGAUAUAUGGAGGAACACCGGUGGCGAAAGCGGCUCUCUGGUCUGUAACUGACGCUGAGGCUCGAAAGCGUGGGGAGCGAACAGG
rnacentral:rRNA from 1 species